GCGGCCGCGGCGGCCAGACAGUCAAGAGCCUGCGGAUCCAGGAGCAGGUGCAGCAGACCCUCGCCCGGAAGGGCCGCAGCUCCGUGGGCAACGGUCCAGUGCUAAACUGAAACCAAAUCAGCUUCCCCUGCGUAGGAGACACAGGAGGCAUAUUAGAUAUUCUUUCUUAUCCUCUGAGAAUGGCCAGCUAGGAAGAGAGCAAGCAGAUACAACUCUUCCAUAAAUGGAGGGAAUGGAGCCAUGAACAGAAGAAAAGGGAAUGUUGCUGAGCAUCUACUAUGUGCCUAUUCCAGAAUCUUCAUUAUAUUCUUGAAACAAUUGCUGAGAUAGAUAUGAGAAUCCAUCUCACAUAUGAAGUAUGUGUCUGUCAGCAAUGGUUGGAAAUUUAAUCCCAACUCCACACAUAAUCUGUUCUUUCUACAAAGUAAUGCAUCACCUGUGUGAUGAAUUCAGCAAGCAUCAAAUGAGUAUGUUCUUCAUGCCGGGCGCUGUGCAGGUGCUGAAUUAAACACAAAGACUCUGCUUGCUUUAAAGCAAAAAGUUUGAAGAAGGAAGCCAACCGCUAGAAAAAUACAUUACCAAAUAAAAA
rnacentral:lncRNA from 1 species